AUUGAACGCUGGCGGCAUGCCUUACACAUGCAAGUCGAACGGUAACGGGCCUUCGGGUGCCGACGAGUGGCGUACGGGUGAGUAAUACAUCGGAACGUGCCCGAUCGUGGGGGAUAACGAGGCGAAAGCUUUGCUAAUACCGCAUACGAUCUACGGUUGAAAGCAGGGGACCGCAAGGCCUUGCUCGGCCGGAGCGGCCGAUGGCAGAUUAGGUAGUUGGUGGGAUAAAAGCUUACCAAGCCGACGAUCUGUAGCUGGUCUGAGAGGAUGAUCAGCCACACUGGGACUGAGACACGGCCCAGACUCCUACGGGAGGCAGCAGUGGGGAAUUUUGGACAAUGGGCGCAAGCCUGAUCCAGCCAUGCCGCGUGCAGGAUGAAGGCCUUCGGGUUGUAAACUGCUUUUGUACGGAACGAAAAGCCUUCUUUUAAUACAGGAGGGUCAUGACGGUACCGUAAGAAUAAGCACCGGCUAACUACGUG
rnacentral:rRNA from 1 species